rnacentral:rRNA from 1 species
AUUGAACGCUGGCGGAAUGCUUAACACAUGCAAGCCGAGCGGUAGAGUCUCUUCGGAGACUUGAGAGCGGCGCACGGGUGCGGAACACGUGUGCAACCUGCCUUUAUCAGGGGGAUAGCCUUUCGAAAGGAAGAUUAAUACCCCAUAAUAUAUUGAGUGGCAUCACUUGAUAUUGAAAACUACGGUGGAUAGAGAUGGGC